AUUGAACGCUGGCGGCAUGCCUUACACGUGCAAAUCGAACGGUAACGGGCCUUCGGGUGCCGACGAGUGGCGAACGGGUGAGUAAUACAUCGGAACGUGCCCGAUCGUGGGGGAUAACGAGGCGAAAGCUUUGCUAAUACCGCAUACGAUCUACGGAUGAAAGCAGGGGACCGCAAGGCCUUGCGCGGACGGAGCGGCCGAUGGCAGAUUAGGUAGUUGGUGGGAUAAAAGCUUACCAAGCCGACGAUCUGUAGCUGGUCUGAGAGGAUGAUCAGCCACACUGGGACUGAGACACGGCCCAGACUCCUACGGGAGGCAGUAGUGGGGAAUUUUGGACAAUGGGCGCAAGCCUGAUCCAGCCAUGCCGCGUGCAGGAUGAAGGCCUUCGGGUUGUAAACUGAUUUUGUACGGAACGAAAAGCCUUCUUUUAAUACAGGAGGGUCAUGACGGUACCGUAAGAAUAAGCACCGGCUAACUACGUG
rnacentral:rRNA from 1 species